GACGAACGCUGGCGGCGUGCCUAACACAUGCAAGUCGAACGGAGUUGCACCGAUGAUCUCUUCGGAGUGAAAUGGUGUACACUUAGUGGCGGACGGGUGAGUAACGCGUGAGGAACCUGCCUUUCAGAGGGGGGACAACAGUUGGAAACGACUGCUAAUACCGCAUAACAUAUCGAGACCGCAUGGUAUUGAUAUCAAAGCUUUAUGUGCUGAAGAUGGCCUCGCGUCUGAUUAGCUAGUUGGAGGGGUAACGGCCCACCAAGGCGACGAUCAGUAGCCGGUCUGGAGAGGAUGAACGGGCCACAUUGGGACUGAGAUACGGCCCAGACUCCUACGGGAGGCAGCAGUGGGGAAUAUUGGGCAAU
rnacentral:rRNA from 1 species